UAAACCGCCCGCAGGGGGCGUGCUGGGUGUUUUUUUUUUUUUUUAUGUAUGUAUGUAUGUAUGUAUGCAGGUUCUCUAUAAGAGCUGCUGAUGUAAACCGUUGCUCUCUAAUUCCAGAUAUUCAGAUGGACCGAGAAAUGAUUACAAGUUAAAAUACAAAAGUAAAGAAUUGUUUUAAAAAGAGUGAUCUAUCUCAUUGGUGCUGAGUUUCAUAACUCAACUUCUGAGUAAAAGAUGUAGAGCAGGAGUCCCCAAUCCCAGUCCACGAGGGCCGGUGUCCCUGCAGGUUUUAGAUGUGUCCUUGAUCCAAUACAGCUGAUUUAAAUGGCUAAAUUACCUCCUCAACAUGUCUUGAAGUUCUCCAGAGGCCUGGUAAUGAACUAAUCAUUUGAUUCAGGUGUGUUGACCCAGGGUGAGAUCUAAACCCUGCAGAACACUGGCCCUCGCAGACUGGGAUUGGGUACCCCUGAUGUAGAGUCAUAGGUUGAGUUAGUUUGACGAAAUAUUGGUUCAGAAGUUGUGACUCAGCAGUAGGGUUGGUGAUGUGUCGGGUUCUUUAAUUAACUCCACAGCUUGGCUAUUUCUAUUGGGUCAUAGGUCGGUUAGCUUUGAUCAAAUAUUGGGUCAAAUUUUACCCAAUUCGUUGGAUUAAAGACAAGCCUCAGAAGAAGCCACAUAAUUUUUUCACAAACUGCCACUUUCAACUAGACUUUCACCUGAUAAGAUAUAACUCGACUUUCUUCUACAAUGAAUAGAUGAAGGCAAUUUUGGCAUCGUCAAUAGCAGAUCAGUUUCCAUGUUUAGGGGACUGCCAUGGCACAGGAUAUGACACGCGAGGAAACACGGGCUCUCAUUGAGUGGCGGGCAGCAAAUGAGAGCCUUUUUACUGGAAGGAGAAAUUCCUGCAAGACUAGAUGGGAGGACUUUGUUAGCUCUUCAGGCUAUAACAGCCAAACAAGCAAAAAAAAAAAGUGGAGCAACCUGAAGGCCAAAUACAAGGGACCCAUCUACAGGGAAGGGUGUAGAGGCAGGUAGCCCGACUGCCACCACCUGGCAGCGCUACAAUAUGAUGGAUGCUGUGAUCCAGCGGCAGCACUCAAGUCUACCAGCAAACCUGACUUUCACUACAGGUGAUGCAAUCAGCACUACACCAUAGACCCCUUCUACAGAAGAGUCGAGGAAGAGGCCCAGGGACAGCCAGGCUAUCCUACCGUUUUUAAAAGACCAACCAGAAAGAGAGGAAAACAGAGAGAGACAGGCUCUGGCUAGGGAGGAAGAGAGGGAGAGGGCAGCUACUCAAAGGGCAGAGUGAUAUCUGUCACUAUUUGAGAAACUUGUUGACAAACUUUAAAUAAAGCA